rnacentral:rRNA from 1 species
GACGAACGCUGGCGGCGUGCCUAAUACAUGCAAGUCGAGCGAAGUUUUUCUGGUGCUUGCACCGGAAAAACUUAGCGGCGAACGGGUGAGUAACACGUAAAGAACCUGCCUCAUAGACUGGGACAACUAUUGGAAACGAUAGCUAAUACCGGAUAAUAGCAUUAACUGCAUGGUUGAUGUUUAAAAGUUGGUUUUGCUAACACUAUGAGAUGGCUUUGCGGUGCAUUAGCUAGUUGGUGGGGUAAAGGCCUACCAAGGCGACGAUGCAUAGCCGACCUGAGAGGGUGAUCGGCCACACUGGGACUGAGACACGGCCCAGACUCCUACGGGAGGCAGCAGUAGGGAAUCUUCCGCAAUGGGCGGAAGCCUGACGGAGCAACGCCGCGUGAGUGAAGAAGGAUUUCGGUUCGUAAAGCUCUGUUGUUAGGGAAGAAUGAUUGUGUAGUAACUAUACACAGUAGAGACGGUACCUAACCAGAAAGCCACGGCUAACUACGUG